rnacentral:rRNA from 1 species
GGAAAAGAAAUCAACCGAGAUUCCCCCAGUAGCGGCGAGCGAACGGGGAGGAGCCCAGAGCCUGAAUCAGUGUGUGUGUUAGUGGAAGCGUCUGGAAAGGCGCGCGAUACAGGGUGACAGCCCCGUACACAAAAAUGCACAUGCUGUGAGCUCGAUGAGUAGGGCGGGACACGUGGUAUCCUGUCUGAAUAUGGGGGGACCAUCCUCCAAGGCUAAAUACUCCUGACUGACCGAUAGUGAACCAGUACCGUGAGGGAAAGGCGAAAAGAACCCCGGCGAGGGGAGUGAAAAAGAACCUGAAACCGUGUACGUACAAGCAGUGGGAGCCCUGAUUUAUCAGGGUGACUGCGUACCUUUUGUAUAAUGGGUCAGCGACUUAUAUUCUGUAGCAAGGUUAACCGAAUAGGGGAGCCGGAGGGAAACCGAGUCUUAACUGGGCGUUAAGUUGCAGGGUAUAGACCCGAAACCCGGUGAUCUAGCCAUGGGCAGGUUGAAGGUUGGGUAACACUAACUGGAGGACCGAACCGACUAAUGUUGAAAAAUUAGCGGAUGACUUGUGGCUGGGGGUGAAAGGCCAAUCAAACCGGGAGAUAGCUGGUUCUCCCCGAAAGCUAUUUAGGUAGCGCCUCGUGAAUUCAUCUCCGGGGGUAGAGCACUGUUUCGGCAAGGGGGUCAUCCCGACUUACCAACCCGAUGCAAACUGCGAAUACCGGAGAAUGUUAUCACGGGAGACACACGGCGGGUGCUAACGUCCGUCGUGAAGAGGGAAACAACCCAGACCGCCAGCUAAGGUCCCAAAGUCAUGGUUAAGUGGGAAACGAUGUGGGAAGGCCCAGACAGCCAGGAUGUUGGCUUAGAAGCAGCCAUCAUUUAAAGAAAGCGUAAUAGCUCACUGGUCGAGUCGGCCUGCGCGGAAGAUGUAACGGGGCUAAACCAUGCACCGAAGCUGCGGCAGCGACACUGUGUGUUGUUGGGUAGGGGAGCGUUCUGUAAGCCUGUGAAGGUGUGCUGUGAGGCAUGCUGGAGGUAUCAGAAGUGCGAAUGCUGACAUAAGUAACGAUAAAGCGGGUGAAAAGCCCGCUCGCCGGAAGACCAAGGGUUCCUGUCCAACGUUAAUCGGGGCAGGGUGAGUCGACCCCUAAGGCGAGGCCGAAAGGCGUAGUCGAUGGGAAACAGGUUAAUAUUCCUGUACUUGGUGUUACUGCGAAGGGGGGACGGAGAAGGCUAUGUUGGCCGGGCGACGGUUGUCCCGGUUUAAGCGUGUAGGCUGGUUUUCCAGGCAAAUCCGGAAAAUCAAGGCUGAGGCGUGAUGACGAGGCACUACGGUGCUGAAGCGACAAAUGCCCUGCUUCCAGGAAAAGCCUCUAAGCAUCAGGUAACAUCAAAUCGUACCCCAAACCGACACAGGUGGUCAGGUAGAGAAUACCAAGGCGCUUGAGAGAACUCGGGUGAAGGAACUAGGCAAAAUGGUGCCGUAACUUCGGGAGAAGGCACGCUGAUAUGUAGGUGAAGCGACUUGCUCGUGGAGCUGAAAUCAGUCGAAGAUACCAGCUGGCUGCAACUGUUUAUUAAAAACACAGCACUGUGCAAACACGAAAGUGGACGUAUACGGUGUGACGCCUGCCCGGUGCCGGAAGGUUAAUUGAUGGGGUCAGCGCAAGCGAAGCUCUUGAUCGAAGCCCCGGUAAACGGCGGCCGUAACUAUAACGGUCCUAAGGUAGCGAAAUUCCUUGUCGGGUAAGUUCCGACCUGCACGAAUGGCGUAAUGAUGGCCAGGCUGUCUCCACCCGAGACUCAGUGAAAUUGAACUCGCUGUGAAGAUGCAGUGUACCCGCGGCAAGACGGAAAGACCCCGUGAACCUUUACUAUAGCUUGACACUGAACACUGGUCCUUGAUGUGUAGGAUAGGUGGGAGGCUUUGAAGUGUGGACGCCAGUCUGCAUGGAGCCGUCCUUGAAAUACCACCCUUUAAUGGCUGGUGUUCUAACGUGGGCCCGUAAUCCGGGUUGCGGACAGUGUCUGGUGGGUAGUUUGACUGGGGCGGUCUCCUCCUAAAGAGUAACGGAGGAGCACGAAGGUUGGCUAAUCCUGGUCGGACAUCAGGAGGUUAGUGCAAUGGCAUAAGCCAGCUUGACUGCGAGCGUGACGGCGCGAGCAGGUGCGAAAGCAGGUCAUAGUGAUCCGGUGGUUCUGAAUGGAAGGGCCAUCGCUCAACGGAUAAAAGGUACUCCGGGGAUAACAGGCUGAUACCGCCCAAGAGUUCAUAUCGACGGCGGUGUUUGGCACCUCGAUGUCGGCUCAUCACAUCCUGGGGCUGAAGUAGGUCCCAAGGGUAUGGCUGUUCGCCAUUUAAAGUGGUACGCGAGCUGGGUUUAGAACGUCGUGAGACAGUUCGGUCCCUAUCUGCCGUGGGCGCUGGAGAACUGAGGGGGGCUGCUCCUAGUACGAGAGGACCGGAGUGGACGCAUCACUGGUGUUCGGGUUGUCAUGCCAAUGGCACUGCCCGGUAGCUAAAUGCGGAAGAGAUAAGUGCUGAAAGCAUCUAAGCACGAAACUUGCCCCGA